GGGACCCCAAAGCAGGACUCGAUCCCAGGACCCUGAAAUCGUGACCUGAGCCGAAGGCCGAUGCUUCACGGACCGCGCCCCCAGGUGUUCGGCCCAAAUAGGUUGACUUCCUAACCCUCUGAACUUGUCAACGGGACCUGACUUGGAAAUGGGCUCUUUGCAGAUGUGAUCAAGUUACGAUGGGGUCACCCCAGCCUAGGGCGGGCCGACAGUCCAGUGACUGGGGUCCCUGGGAGGGGACAACACAGAGACCCAGGGAGAGAGGGCCAGAAGAUGACCGGGGCAGAGCCUGCCGGGAGGUCCCGACAAACCGGGGAAAGCCGGCAGCACCGGCAGACGCUGGAAGCUGAGAAGGACGCAGAGGAUUCUUCCUCGAGUCUUCUGGGGGAGCGCGGUCUGGCUGGGCCCUCGGUUCUGGACUUCUGGCUUCCAGGUCUGUAAGAGAACACGUCUCUGUGGUCCUAAGCAGCCCGGCUUGUGGCCGUGAUCGUCCUGUGAUCACGUAUGCGAAGACCUUGCUCCCGAGUAAGGUCCCAGUCCCGGGCAUCCGGCUUUUGAAUACUAGGCCCCACGAAAGAUAAAGUGAGAGAUAAGGACUCGGUCUUCACCCCACUGUGAUCUCCUCCAACUGUUGGCCGCAUCGGGGAAUGGGGGGCUGUUUGCCCUGCGCCUCGCCACGCUUUCCCCCUGCUGGCCCAGCUCCAGCUCUGGCUUGAGCUUGUCCUGAGCUCUGCUCCCCUCAAAGCCUCCCACCUUUCCUCCGUAUCAGGCGGGUUUGCCGCACUCUUCUCCCUGUCCCCAGGCGGGAGAGGACAGGACUCGAGCUCCUGUUUGCAUCUUGUGAGCAGCGGGACUGGCUGGCGACUCCGACUCCGUGGUUAUUGGUCCCCGCUCUGGGUGGGCGGGACAGCCGGUCUCAGCGUCACUCUUCGGACACUCCCCAGUGCCGGUGACACGAGCUACCCACGCCCGCGGGCGACCCAGGGAUCGACGAAACGCAGAGUCUCUGUGAAGGAAAAAUAGCCAAAGUCACUUUUAGGAUCACAGCAAAAUUGAGGGGAAUGUUCCGAGAGCUCCCAUACCUCCCACGCCUGCACGUGCGCAGCCUCCCCCGCUGUCAGCAUCUCCCUCCCCGGAGCCAUGCACCUGUUACAGGGCGAGAACCUGCGCUGACCCGCCUUCGGCACCCAGAGUCCACAGUGGACAGUGGGGUUCACCCCGCGUUGCUCCCUCUGUGGGGCUGGCUUCCACUUUAAAAUAGCAUUUUUGAUGGAAAUCACUUGACUCGAAGAGGAAAGUUGCAAGUGACAGGAAGAGUACAAAGCUACCCACGUAGCUCAGACCCCGGACCACCUGCCGUCAGGCUUGCGCUGUCUGCUUGAGCCCUCGCGCUCCUGCCCUACAUACACGCGUACACGCGGACCUGAAUCGCUUGAGAAGAGGGAGCACAAGCAGGACGAGGGGCAGAAGGAGUGGGAGAAGCCGACGCCCUUCUGAGCAGGCGUGACACACUCCAUCCCAGGACUCUGAGACUGUGACCAGAGCCGAAGGCAGACGCUUCACCAGCUGAACCGGCCAGGUGCUCCGGGUGAUUAUUUUUCAUAUUUUAACAACAACACAUGGAAAAGCACUUAGCCGUGUGCUUGGCACAAGUAAAGGCUUCGUUAACAUGAGCUCCUAUUAUUACACGCACAGCAGCAGAAAUGUGGGCGCCGGCUUUGUGCCUACGCGCCGCGGAGACCCGGAGGCGCUCCCCCACGCGCCCCUCCCUCGUUCAUUAACAGCGGUGGCAUGGCCGGUGGCCAGGCGGUCUUUCCUUUGGCCGACAGCCGUCGCCUGUGGCUUUUAGCAUCGAGGAGAGCAACCUUUGUUCCUCCAGAACUGGCCUAGGUAUGGGUUGAGGGAAGCAGAGUCCAGGACCUGGGAGAGGUCGGUCGGAGGACCUGGGCGGUCUGCAGCAGGCAGUCUCCACGGGGCCCAAGACACGCGGGGGCCCCCACGGAUGCGUGGUGCUUUGAGUUGAGAAUUUAAGUAUCUAGAGAAGGUACCAAAGUCUGUAGAACGUGGACUUUCCUCCCCAUCUGCACCCCCACCCCUGCCUCUGUGGCUGGACAUCUGAGGUGACCGUGAACUCCAGGCACAUCUUUUACAGGUUGACAUUGUCCUUGGAGACGUUCUCUCUUCUCACCAUCUGUUUCCCGACAUGACAAGCGCCUUGCGCACGAGAGCGUGGAGAGCAUGACUACUGGGGUUAUUUUUGUCUCCUGAUUCAUUGUUAAACAUCUUUUACCCUCUUAACUGCGCAGACGUAAAAUCCUUUUCCAUAUAAUAAUUGUCUGAGCUCAGAAGAGCCAGUGCUGUUACUCACUGCCACCAAAACCCAGACGGUAUUUUUAUUCUACACUCAAGUUGGCUCCCGCAUUUCUUUCCAGGCGCUGUAUGUGCCUUAAAAUUUCCAUGGAUCAGGUCAAGCUGUUCUUUAAUCAACCAGAAAAUGCAGGGCACACAUAUGUCUCGCUUCUUGCAAAGCGAGAUGGACACAGAUUUUUUUUUUUUUUUUAAAUAAGCAUUUAUAUACAUUUUAAGAAGAGGAAAGACAAGAGUCCUCUCCUCCCACUCUCACCGCGGGUCUGCAGAUGGCCGAGGAGGACGAUGGCCUGUGCUGCCCCUGCUCGGGUCCAGACCAGAGCUGCGUGUCACCCCGCGGUAUCCCCAGCCCGCAGGGGACAGGGCCCUGGGGGUAGCGCUGUGGCUGUGGAACUCCAGGGUUGAAGGGCAUGGUCGCACCCUGCAAGGCCUGUUAGCAAACCUGGAGAGAAAAGUCGUAGGACAUUGGAGAUGGAGAGAACGUGCGUCCUUUCUUUGCCACUUGCUCGUGCUCAGACGGGAGCUGGACGCGGGAGCCCGACGCGGGAGCCCGCCUACCUGGGGCAGCCCGGGGACUCGGCUGUCGGGCCUUUGCCUCCAGGGCUCCCGGCUCCAGGGGUGGGAAGAGAGAGGGCACUGUCCGCCGCAGGCGUUCUGGGAAGAGCCCUCUUCUGCCCUGCGGAGGCUGUCCGUGACAGGUAUGAAGCGCAGGAGGGUGAUUCAGAGCGAGAGGGGGCGAG